rnacentral:rRNA from 1 species
GUGCCAGCAGCCGCGGUAAUACAGAGGGGGCCAGCGUUAUUCGGAAUUAUUGGGCGUAAAGGGCGCGUAGGCGGCCAUGCGUGUCUUCCGUGAAAUCCCUCGGCUUAACUGAGGACGUGCGGAAGAAACUGCAAGGCUCGAGUCCGGGAGAGGAGGGUGGAAUUCCCAGUGUAGCGGUGAAAUGCGUAGAUAUUGGGAGGAACACCGGUGGCGAAGGCGGCCCUCUGGACCGGUACUGACGCUGAUGCGCGAAAGCGUGGGUAGCAAACGGGAUUAGAUACCCCUGUAGUCC